GUUUUUAUAAUUUAAGAUAAAAUACUGGUCUUGUAAAUCAGAAAUAUGUAAUACAUUAAAAACA
rnacentral:tRNA from 1 species